CAGUAGCCGCGGAAAUACGUAGGGCGCAAGCGUUAUCCGGAAUUAUUGGGCGUAAAGAGCUCGUAGGCGGUUUGUCGCGUCUGCCGUGAAAGUCCGGGGCUCAACCCCGGAUCUGCGGUGGGUACGGGCAGACUAGAGUGAUGUAGGGGAGACUGGAAUUCCUGGUGUAGCGGUGAAAUGCGCAGAUAUCAGGAGGAACACCGAUGGCGAAGGCAGGUCUCUGGGCAUUAACUGACGCUGAGGAGCGAAAGCAUGGGGAGCGAACAGGAUUAGAUACCCCGGUAGUCCCUGUCUCUUAUAU
rnacentral:rRNA from 1 species